UGGCGACCGGCGCACGGGUGAGUAACACGUAUCCAACCUGCCGAUGACUCGGGGAUAGCCUUUCGAAAGAAAGAUUAAUGCCCGAUGGCAUAGUUCUUCCGCAUGGUAGAACUAUUAAAGAAUUUCGGUCAUCGAUGGGGAUGCGUUCCAUUAGGUUGUUGGCGGGGUAACGGCCCACCAAGCCUUCGAUGGAUAGGGGUUCUGAGAGGAAGGUCCCCCACAUUGGAACUGAGACACGGUCCAA
rnacentral:rRNA from 1 species